rnacentral:rRNA from 1 species
AGAGUUUGAUCCUGGCUCAGGAUGAACGCUAGCGGCAGGCUAAUACAUGCAAGUCGAACGGGUGCUGUCAGCAAUGGCGGCACUAGUGGCGCACGGGUGCGUAACGGUAUGCAACCUACCUUCUACCGGGGGAUAGCCUCCUGAAAGGGAGAUUAACACCGCAUAAGAUCACAGGCUGGCCUCAGUCAGUGAUUAAAACUCCGGUGGUAGAAGAUGGGCAUGCGUCCGAUUAGCUAGUUGGCGGGGUAGCAGCCCACCAAGGCCACGAUCGGUAGGGGACCUGAGAGGGUGAUCCCCCACACUGGCACUGAGACACGGGCCAGACUCCUACGGGAGGCAGCAGUAGGGAAUAUUGGGCAAUGGCGGCAACGCUGACCCAGCCAUGCCGCGUGCAGGAAGAAGGCGCUACGCGUCGUAAACUGCUUUUUUUCGGGAAGAAGGGCCUCCUGCGGGAGGAAUUGACGGUACCGAAGGAAUCAGCACCGGCUAACUCCGUGCCAGCAGCCGCGGUAAUACGGAGGGUGCGAGCGUUGUCCGGAUUCAUUGGGUUUAAAGGGUGCGUAGGCGGGAGAUUAAGUCCGGGGUGAAAGACGGUUGCUCAACAAUCGCAGUGCCUUGGAUACUGGUCUUCUUGGGUAGAGUCGAGGCGGGCGGAAUGGCCGGUGUAGCGGUGAAAUGCAUAGAUACCGGCCAGAACCCCGAUUGCGAAGGCAGCCCGCUGGGCUUCCACCGACGCUGAGGCACGAAAGCGUGGGGAUCAAACAGGAUUAGAUACCCUAGUAGUCC